UACGUAGGGGGCGAGCGUUGUCCGGAUUCAUUGGGCGUAAAGAGCUCGUAGGCGGUUCGGUAAGUCAGGUGUGAAAUCUCCACGCUCAACGUGGAGGGGCCACCUGAUACUGCCGUGACUCGAGUCCGGUAGGGGAGUAUGGAAUUCCCGGUGUAGCGGUGAAAUGCGCAGAUAUCGGGAGGAACACCUAUGGCGAAGGCAGCUCGCUGGGACGUUACUGACGCUGAGACGCGAAAGCGUGGGGAGCAAACAGG
rnacentral:rRNA from 1 species